CGCAGCUGUGCCAGAUUCAUGGCCCGCCUUUUCCGUGGUGGGGACUGGUCCAAGCAGCUGCCACAGCAACACCUGUAGCUCAUGGGCCUGGGAACUCUCGACAGGCUCUGGGGAUAGUUUUGCUGCAGACACCC